AGACUUACUUGGCAGGGGAAAUACCAUGAUCAUGGAGGUGGUGUGCCAAGGGUGAGGUUCAUCUAUUACACUGUGGGUGUGCUGACUCCUGUGAUUUCCCCAAAUGUAGGAAACUCGACAGCAUAAUUUGUGGUAGUGGGGGACUGUGUCCACGCUCUCCCCUC